rnacentral:rRNA from 1 species
AGAGUUUGAUCCUGGCUCAGAAUCAACGCUGGCGGCGUGCCUAACACAUGCAAGUCGAACGCGAAAGUGGAGCAAUCCAUGAGUAGAGUGGCAAACGGGUGAGUAACGCGUGGGCGACCUACCUCAGAGUGGGGAAUAACCUUCCGAAAGGAGGGCUAAUACCGCAUAAGACCUUCCGACACAAGUCAGGAGGUUGAAAGGAGCGAUUCGCUCGAAGUGGGAUCCGCGCCUGAUUAGCUAGUUGGUGAGGUAAUGGCUCACCAAGGCUGCGAUCAGUAGCCGUCCUGAGAGGGAGCACGGCCACACUGGAACUGAGACACGGUCCAGACUCCUACGGGAGGCAGCAGUGGGGAAUUUUUGGCAAUGGGCGAAAGCUUGACCAAGCAACGCCGCGUGGGUGAUGAAGUAUCUUGGUACGUAAAACCCUUUCGGCAGGAACGAACCCAAUGACG